rnacentral:misc_RNA from 1 species
GAUAAAUCACGUAGAAUUCAGGUACAGGGUUCUUUCCUUUACCAUAUCUUGGUAACUUUAUUUAGAAUUCAGUAACCGUUCGCAGCAUGUUCAGUUCGGGAUCACGUACAACACCAAAAGUGUUCAUCGAUAGAACGAGUAUUUUUCCAGCCGUGAGUUUCAGUGGGUAUUUCGAUAUGGCGAGCACCAGAACGAUGUCACGAGCUUUUCUCCCAGGUAGAUUAUACCAUCCUAUAUCGUACAAAGCGGUCGCGAUUUCGCUACC